rnacentral:lncRNA from 1 species
AAAUAUGUUUCCCAGAAAUCGGUCAAAAUAAAAAUUGAAAUUUUCCGGAAAAUCUUGUUUGACUUGGGAACCAUUUGGCGCCCCUCUGAGAGUAGCGCCCGGGGCAUGAUAAACCCCCUUGCACCCCCUUCGCUACGCCACUGCUCCAUCAUUGUUGGACUUCGCUUUAACAUCCAUGCAUGGUCCAAAAUUUGAAAUUCUUCAAGAUCUUGUUUCUGAUCAUCUUCCACUGAUUGUCUUCCUUCCUCUGGGAAGAAUCCCUUUGGGAGAGGAUCAUUUUUGUUAUAGAAAUACAAAAAAUUUAGUAGCUAUUUCUAAAUUCAAUAAUGCUUUAAAAUCCGCAUUUAGUUGGGAUUACUUAUACAAAUUAAAAGAUGUCCAUCAGGCUGUG